rnacentral:rRNA from 1 species
UACGGAGGGUGCGAGCGUUGUCCGGAAUCACUGGGCGUAAAGGGCGCGUAGGCGGCCUGAUAAGUAGGGGGUGAAAUCCUGCGGCUUAACCGCAGGGCUGCCUUCUAAACUGUCAGGCUCGAGCACAGUAGAGGCAGGUGGAAUUCCCGGUGUAGCGGUGGAAUGCGUAGAGAUCGGGAAGAACAUCAGUGGCGAAGGCGGCCUGCUGGGUUGUUGCUGACGCUGAGGCGCGACAGCGUGGGGAGCAAACAGG